rnacentral:lncRNA from 1 species
AUGUCUGUGAGCAUUCUUAGAGUCAUGAAUCAUGACGACAAAUUUAAUUCUGAGAUCAACAUCAUAAAGUAUCCAGUGACAGCGAUAAGAAGUAGUCUUUUAUAAGUCGGUAAAUGUAAAUAAAAAUUGACUAGGAAGUCAUUUUCAAUCAAAAAGCAGCUCACAAGAUGACUACACAUAUGUAUGUAUGUAUAUAUGUAAGAAGAAAGUGUGACAGAAUAAGGACCAUGUAGGUGAGGGAUAAGAUGAAAUGAGCAGAAGCAGGCAGAAUACAUAGAUGAGCGAACGGAACAUCAAUCUCUUUAUAACCUCUUCUGUCUAUACUUCAAGAAUGGAUAUCCUACAAGCCGACUUCGUAGAGUCUCCCUUGAAAGUGGACCUCGUGAUCUAGCCUUUAUGUCCGUGGAUAGACACUGUUGUAUAUAUACACUUCCUCGGUUUCGAGAUUCCUGCUCUGGUGGUUGUAGUCAUAAGAUAUACAUAGUUGUGUAGUCAUUGCUCACAUCUUGGUUGUGGGCACACACACUAGUGUUGAAUUACCACCUUGUCCAAGUGGAUGGAUGCCCUCAAUGGGAUUGGCACAUUCUCCAUUGCUCCUGCGCUCUGUUAUCAGCACUUCGGGUUUAUAAUGUACACACAGCAACAGAUGCCUUCCUCACUGGUCACCAGGUUCACGGUCCCUCAUAUGUGUCCGGUGCAUAGUCACCAAAAAAGGCCAACUUCAGAUCAAUGGGUGGAUCGGAUUGUACCUCGGCCUAAGCUCCAGGGUUGAUUGUGCUGUUACAGUCACAGCUACAACCGGCUCAGGGAACCCAGUAGAAGAGGAGGUGGAGUGUGAGAGUCAAUUGGAAUGGAAGACAUUGAGGAAACAAGGCCUUCAAGACACAAGAGGACCAAUGAGCUCACAGAGACUGAGGCAGCACCCUCAAGACCUGCACAGGUCUAAGCUUGGUGGGGUUUCAGCACUGAGAGGGCAACUGGACAUAAUUCUAUAUAUGGAGUGACACUGGAUAUAGAA